ensembl:lncRNA
GUUUCAUGGGGUGUAUGUGCCUGUCAGUCUGUCCAUUUGUCAGUCAGUACUUGUACAGUUGCUAAGUCGUUAAAUGACUUUCAACACCCUUCUCCACUGCCGGUCUGAAGGUGGAGCCAGACACACCACGGCGAACGAGCCUCAGAUCAUUGAGGGCCCAGACUUUUCCAGGAUCACUACAAUCCACGGAGACCCAAGUCUGAUCGAUGAGGAGUCUGAGAGAAUUAGCAGAAUCAUUAAAGAAGGAGGUAGAUUUGCUGCUGCCAGGAAAGCUCCAGCUGGAAUGAAGAGGCGGGCAAGGCUGGUCAGGCGUCACCAUAAGCGAAGGGAGUGAAUCUUGCAGAAAGAUAAACGCGUAGGGCUCACCACAAGGAUUGUAUGCAUCUCCAGCGCUCCUGGUCGAGCAGUGGUGGAUUGAAAAACUGCAGACUGAGAUUAAAUUAAUUUAGCCAUUUCUUAAUCCAGAGAAUCGUUACGUUUGUUUGUUAUUCCAUUUGAAGCGCGGUUGGUGUAAUAGCCAUACGAUUAAACUCUAUAUUUCCAUAAUGUUGGUGUGUAAGGAAUAGUGAUUUUUAAUGUGGGGCAAAAUAGGGUGAAAGGUGAGAUAUAUUCUACGAGGAUUUUUUUUUUCAAUAUCACUUUGCAAACAGAUUAGUUGGAAAGAGUUUUGUAUUCUUUUUGUUUGUUGUUUGUUGUUUUUUUGUCAUAUGGUGCUGUUUUAAAUAGUGUUUUGCAACCGGUAGAUCUUCUACUGUACCUCUGUAAAUUAUGGCAUGAUCAUUUUAAAAUGCCACGAUGGGGUUUUUUUCAGUUCUCAUGACUGUGUUAGAUCGACAGAUGUUUCAUACUUUUGAUUGGGAACUUGACUCGUGUAUGUCUAUACACAAUCAGACUUUAGAAUCUUAUGUUUGUAUCUCACAAACAAGUGACUAAUAAAUGUGUAACUACAAUGC